GGCCACCCUCUGCGGGGGGUCCAGGGCCGCCCAGACCCCACACACGAGCCGUGGGCCAUGCUCAGCCACCACCCAGGCCACACCUGCCCCCUGACCUCACCACCCUCAACCCCAUGGCUCUCUGUCUUUGCAGUCAUCCUCUGACCCUAACAUGCCCCGCUUCCAGACCCUGUGCAUAGCAGGUCUACCCCAGACCUCCACUGCUUGGUGCAUGCAGGGAGUUGGGGACCAGGUGUCCCCUCAGCAGGAUGUCCCUGCCCUCCAGACCGCCAGGUGCUCACACAAAAGGAGGCAGUGACCGGCAUCCCAGGCCCCCACCCAGGCAGGAGCUGGCCCUGGAGCCAACCGCGUCCACACCAGCCUCCUGAACACAGGCGUGGUUUCCAGAUGCCCGCAGCCAAUCAGCCUCCAUUCCCGGCCCUCCCGUGAACUCCUGACAUGAGGAAUGAGGUUGUUCUGAUUUCAAGCAAAGAAUGCUGCUCUCUGGCUCCUGGGAACAGUCUCGGUGCCAGCACCACCCCUUGGCUGCCUGCCUACACUGCUGGAUUCUCGGGUGGAACUCAACCCGCAGGGACAGCCAGCCCCAGAGUCUGCAUUGGGAAGAGAAGGGGCCAGGCCCAGGACACUGCCACCUCCCACCCACUCCAGUCCACCGAGAUCACUCAGAGAAGAGCCUGGGCCAUGUGGCCGCUGCAGGAGCCCCACAGUGCAAGGGUGAGGAUAGCCCAAGGAAGGGCUGGGCAUCUGCCCAGACAGGCCUCCCACAGAAGGCUGGUGACCAGGUCCCAGGCGGGCAAGACUCAGCCUUGGUGGGGCCUGAGGACAGAGGAGGCCCAGGAGCAUCGGGGAGAGAGGUGGAGGGACACCGGGAGAGCCAGGAGCGUGGACACAGCCAGAACUCAUCACAGAGGCUGGCGUCCAGCCCCGGGGCACAUGCAGCAGGAACAAGCAGCCACUCUGGGGGCACCAGGUGGAGAGGCAAGAUGACAAAGAGGGUGCCCGUGUUCUUGCGAAAGCGGGGCUGCUGGCCACAAGUGCUGGACAGAGGCCCCCACGCUCUGCUGCCCCCAUCACGCCGUUCCGUGACUGUCACGCAGAAUCCGCAGACAGGAAGGGAGGCUCGAGCGGGAGUGCGGCCAGCGCCUGCCUCGGCCGUCAGGGAGGACUCCCGGGCUCACUCGAAGGAGGUGCCACCAUUUCAGCUUUGGUAGCUUUUCUUCUUCUUUUAAAUUUUCUAAAGCUCAUUAAUUGUCUUUAAUGUUUCUUUUUUGAUGACAAUAAAAUAUCCUUUUUAAGUCUUGUA